rnacentral:rRNA from 1 species
GACGAACGCUGGCGGCGUGCCUAAUACACGCAAGUCGAGGGGCAGCAUGACUGUAGCAAUACAGUUGAUGGCGACCGGCAAACGGGUGCGGAACACGUACAGAACCUUCCUUCGAGCGGGGAAUAGCCCAGAGAAAUUUGGAUUAAUACCCCAUAGUAUUACGGAGUGGCAUCACUUUGUAAUUAAAGAUUUAUCACUUGAAGAUGGCUGUGCGGCUGAUUAGGUAGUUGGCGGGGUAACGGCCCACCAAGCCUGCGAUCAGUAACUGGUGUGAGAGCACGACCAGUCACACGGGCACUGAGACACGGGCCCGACUCCUACGGGAGGCAGCAGUAAGGAAUAUUGGUCAAUGGACGAAAGUCUGAACCAGCCAUGCCGCGUGGAGGAUGAAGGUCCUCUGGAUUGUAAACUUCUUUUAUAUGGGACGAAAAAGGGUCUUUCUAGAUCAACUGACGGUACCAUAUGAAUAAGCACCGGCUAACUCCGUGCCAGCAGCCGCCGUAAAAC